CAACUUGUGUGCUUGAUUUACACAGUGCAACUCAAGUUGUAAGCAAGUUGCAUGCGACGGUUUUACACAAGAGUUGUAAAGUCUAAAUCAACCUUUAUAAUGAAGCAGACAAAUCAUUAUUUCUUUAACAAGAAGUGCGCAAAAUUAUUUUGUUCAAUUGUUACCAUGAAACGCGUAUGAAAAUAUUUAGGUAUUAGCUGCAUAGGGCGCGGGCAGUGUUCUUGUUUUUUUCGUAAACGCGCUUGAUCAAAUUUAAGCGGAAAAUUGCAACAAUGUUACACUAUGCAACUUGUCUUGCAACUUGUGUCGC